GACGAACGCUGGCGGCGUGCUAAACACAUGCAAGUCGAACGGAAAGGCCCUGCUUUUGUGGGGUGCUCGAGUGGCGAACGGGUGAGUAACACGUGAGUAACCUGCCCUUGACUUUGGGAUAACUUCAGGAAACUGGGGCUAAUACCGGAUAGGAGCUCCUGCUGCAUGGUGGGGGUUGGAAAGUUUCGGCGGUUGGGGAUGGACUCGCGGCUUAUCAGCUUGUUGGUGGGGUAGUGGCUUACCAAGGCUUUGAUGGGUAGCCGGCCUGAGAGGGUGACCGGCCACAUUGGGACUGAGAUACGGCCCAGACUCCUACGGGAGGCAGCAGUGGGGAAUAUUGCACAAUGGGCGGAAGCCUGAUGCAGCAACGCCGCGUGCGGGAUGACGGCCUUCGGGUUGUAAACCGCUUUCGCCUGUGACGAAGCGUGAGUGACGGUAAUGGGUAAAGAAGCACCGGCUAACUACGUG
rnacentral:rRNA from 1 species